AUUGAACGCUGGCGGCAGGCCUAACACAUGCAAGUCGAGCGAGCGGCGGACGGGUGAGUAAUGUAUAGGGACUGCGCGAUGGAGGUGGAUAACAACUGGAAACGGGGGCUAAUACCGGCUACUGUAGGAUAACCCAGAUGGGAUUAGCUAGUAGGUAAGGUAAUGGCUUACCUAGGCGACGAUCCCUAGCUGGUCUGAGAGGAUGAUCAGCCACACUGGGACUGAGACACGGCCCAGACUCCUACGGAGGCAGCAGUGGGGAAUAUUGCACAAUGGGCGCAAGCCUGAUGCAGCCAUGCCGCGUGUAUGAAGAAGGCCCUAGGGUUGUAAAGGACUUUCAGUCGGGAGGCGUUACCGACAGAAGAAGCACCGGCUAACUCCGUGCCAGCCGCCGCGGUAAUAC
rnacentral:rRNA from 1 species